rnacentral:rRNA from 1 species
AGAGUUUGAUCCUGGCUCAGGAUGAACGCUAGCUACAGGCUUAACACAUGCAAGUCGAGGGGAAACGGCAUCGAAAGCUUGCUUUUGAUGGGCGUCGACCGGCGCACGGGUGAGUAACGCGUAUCCAACCUGCCCACCACUUGGGGAUAACCUUGCGAAAGUAAGACUAAUACCCAAUGACGUCUCUAGAAGACAUCUGAAAGAGAUUAAAGAUUUAUCGGUGAUGGAUGGGGAUGCGUCUGAUUAGCUUGUUGGCGGGGUAACGGCCACCAAGGCGACGAUCAGUAGGGGUUCUGAGAGGAAGUCCCCCANAUUGGAACUGAGACACGGUCCAAACUCCUACGGGAGGCA